GCUCUUCCGAUCUGUGAUCGUGGCCUGUGAAAACAGCUUUAACAUCACCUGCUUCUACCAUGGUUGUAAAGAAGCCCGAGUUUACAGAAGGAGAGCUGAUGCCAUCUUGAUUUACACCAGUAUAGUUUGAUGAAUCGACACUAGCG